rnacentral:rRNA from 1 species
GAUGAACGCUGGCGGCGUGCCUAAUACAUGCCAGUCGAGCGAACAGACGAGGAGCUUGCUCCUCUGACGUUAGCGGCGGACGGGUGAGUAACACGUGGAUAACCUACCUAUAAGACUGGGAUAACUUCGGGAAACCGGAGCUAACACCGGAUAAUAUAUUGAACCGCAUGGUUCAAUAGUGAAAGACGGUUUUGCUGUCACUUAUAGAUGGAUCCGCGCCGCAUUAGCUAGUUGGUAAGGUAACGGCUUACCAAGGCAACGAUGCGUAGCCGACCUGAGAGGGUGAUCGGCCACACUGGAACUGAGACACGGUCCAGACUCCUACGGGAGGCAGCAGUAGGGAAUCUUCCGCAAUGGGCGAAAGCCUGACGGAGCAACGCCGCGUGAGUGAUGAAGGUCUUCGGAUCGUAAAACUCUGUUAUUAGGGAAGAACAAAUGUGUAAGUAACUAUGCACGUCUUGACGGUACCUAAUCAGAAAGCCACGGCUAACUACGUG